CAGGCUUAACACAUGCAAGUCGAGGGGCAGCAUGGUCUUAGCUUGCUAAGACUGAUGGCGACCGGCGCACGGGUGAGUAACACGUAUCCAACCUGCCGUCUACUCUUGGACAGCCUUCUGAAAGGAAGAUUAAUACAAGAUGGCAUCAUGAGUCCGCAUGUUCACAUGAUUAAAGGUAUUCCGGUAGACGAUGGGGAUGCGUUCCAUUAGAUAGUAGGCGGGGUAACGGCCCACCUAGUCUUCGAUGGAUAGGGGUUCUGAGAGGAAGGUCCCCCACAUUGGAACUGAGACACGGUCCAAACUCCUACGGGAGGCAGCAGUGAGGAAUAUUGGUCAAUGGGCGAGAGCCUGAACCAGCCAAGUAGCGUGAAGGAUGACUGCCCUAUGGGUUGUAAACUUCUUUUAUAAAGGAAUAAAGUCGGGUAUGCAUACCCGUUUGCAUGUACUUUAUGAAUAAGGAUCGGCUAACUCCGUGCCAGCAGCCGCGGUAAUACGGAGGAUCCGAGCGUUAUCCGGAUUUAUUGGGUUUAAAGGGAGCGUAGAUGGAUGUUUAAGUCAGUUGUGAAAGUUUGCGGCUCAACCGUAAAAUUGCAGUUGAUACUGGAUAUCUUGAGUGCAGUUGAGGCAGGCGGAAUUCGUGGUGUAGCGGUGAAAUGCUUAGAUAUCACGAAGAACUCCGAUUGCGAAGGCAGCCUGCUAAGCUGCAACUGACAUUGAGGCUCGAAAGUGUGGGUAUCAAACAGGAUUAGAUACCCUGGUAGUCCACACGGUAAACGAUGAAUACUCGCUGUUUGCGAUAUACUGCAAGCGGCCAAGCGAAAGCGUUAAGUAUUCCACCUGGGGAGUACGCCGGCAACGGUGAAACUCAAAGGAAUUGACGGGGGCCCGCACAAGCGGAGGAACAUGUGGUUUAAUUCGAUGAUACGCGAGGAACCUUACCCGGGCUUAAAUUGCAGAUGAAUUACGGUGAAAGCCGUAAGCCGCAAGGCAUCUGUGAAGGUGCUGCAUGGUUGUCGUCAGCUCGUGCCGUGAGGUGUCGGCUUAAGUGCCAUAACGAGCGCAACCCUUGUUGUCAGUUACUAACAGGUUCCGCUGAGGACUCUGACAAGACUGCCAUCGUAAGAUGUGAGGAAGGUGGGGAUGACGUCAAAUCAGCACGGCCCUUACGUCCGGGGCUACACACGUGUUACAAUGGAGGGUACAGAGGGCCGCUACCACGCGAGUGGAUGCCAAUCCCCAAAACCUCUCUCAGUUCGGACUGGAGUCUGCAACCCGACUCCACGAAGCUGGAUUCGCUAGUAAUCGCGCAUCAGCCACGGCGCGGUGAAUACGUUCCCGGGCCUUGUACACACCGCCCGUCAAGCCAUGGGAGCCGGGGGUACCUGAAGUGCGUAACCGCGAGGAGCGCCCUAGGGUAAAACUGGUGACUG
rnacentral:rRNA from 1 species